rnacentral:rRNA from 1 species
GAUGAACGCUGGCGGCGUGCCUAAUACAUGCAAGUCGAGCGAACAGACGAGGAGCUUGCUCCUCUGACGUUAGCGGCGGACGGGUGAGUAACACGUGGAUAACCUACCUAUAAGACUGGGAUAACUUCGGGAAACCGGAGCUAAUACCGGAUAAUAUAUUGAACCGCAUGGUUCAAUAGUUAAAGACGGUUUUGCUGUCUCUUAUAGAUGGAUCCGCGCCGGAUUAGCUAGUUGGUAAGGGAACGGCCUACCAAGGCGACGAUGCGUAGCUGACCUGAGAGGAGGAUCAGCCACACGGGAACUGAGACACGGUCCAGACUCCUACGGGAGGCAGCAGUGGGGAAUAUUGGGCAAUGGGCGGAAGCCUGACGCAGCAAUGUCGCGUGAGUGAUGAAGGGCUUCGGAUUGUAAAGCUCUUUUGUGGGGAAAGAACAACUGUAGAAGAAAAUAUGGCCGUCUUGACGGUACCUAAAGAAUAAGCAACGGCUAACUACGUG